UAUGUAUUGUGGCCAGCCCCGCGGUAAAACGUAGGUCACAAGCGUUGUCCGGAAUUACUGGGUGUAAAGGGAGCGCAGGCGGGAAGACAAGUUGGAAGUGAAAUCCAUGGGCUCAACCCAUGAACUGCUUUCAAAACUGUUUUUCUUGAGUAGUGCAGAGGUAGGCGGAAUUCCCGGUGUAGCGGUGGAAUGCGUAGAUAUCGGGAGGAACACCAGUGGCGAAGGCGGCCUACUGGGCACCAACUGACGCUGAGGCUCGAAAGUGUGGGUAGCAAACAGG
rnacentral:rRNA from 1 species